GAGUAACACGUAGAUAAUCUAUCCUAUACUGGGGGAUAGCCCGAUGAAAGUUGGAUUAAUACCGCAUAUAGCUAUAUAGUUGCAUGAUUAUGUAGUGAAAGAUUUAUUGGUAUAGGAGGAGUCUGCGGCACAUUAGCUAGUAGGUGAGGUAAAGGCUUACCUAGGCGACGAUGUGUAGCCGGUCUGAGAGGAUGAACGGCCACAAUGGAACUGAGACACGGUCCAUACUCCUACGGGAGGCAGCAGUGGGGAAUAUUGCACAAUGGGGGAAACCCUGAUGCAGCAACGCCGCGUGAGUGAAGAAGGUUUUCGGAUUGUAAAGCUCUGUUAGCAGGGAAGAGGAAGGACGGUACCUGCAGAGGAAGCCACGGCUAACUACGUGCCAGCAGCCGCGGUAAUACGUAGGUGGCAAGCGUUGUUCGGAAUAACUGGGCGUAAAGGAUGCGUAGGCGGUUAAACAAGUUAUAUGUUAAAUAUAUAGGCUUAACCUGUAGAAAGCAUAUAAAACUGUUUAACUAGAGUGCAGGAGAGGUAAGUGGAAUUCCUAGUGUAGCGGUGAAAUGCGUAGAGAUUAGGAAGAACACCAGUGGCGAAGGCGACUUACUGGACUGUAACUGACGCUGAGGCAUGAGAGCAUGGGGAGCCAAACAGGAUUAGAUACCCUGGUAGUCCAUG
rnacentral:rRNA from 1 species